GCUCCUGUGGUCUAGUGGUUAUGACGCUUCGUUGUGGCGGGUGCUUACGUAAUGAUUACGUGCAAGGCGACGCCGAAGCAGCCUGUGUUCGAUUCACAGCAGGGGCA